UGGUGGGUUGCCUUGUCAGGUUGAUUCCGGUAACGAACGAGACCUCAGCCUGCUAAAUAGUCACGGUUGGUUCUUCCAGCCGGCCGACUUCUUAGAGGGACUAUUGGCGACUAGCCAAUGGAAGUGUGAGGCAAUAACA
rnacentral:rRNA from 1 species